rnacentral:rRNA from 1 species
UACGUAGGGGGGCAAGCGUUGUCCGGAAUCAUUGGGCGUAAAGAGCGUGUAGGCGGCCAUACAGGUCAGCUGUGAAAAACUCGAGGCUCAACCUCGAGACGUCGGUUGAAACCGUUUGGCUAGAGUCCGGAAGAGGAGAGUGGAAUUCCCGGUGUAGCGGUGAAAUGCGCAGAUAUCGGGAAGAACACCCGUGGCGAAGGCGGCUCUCUGGGACGGGUACUGGACGCUGAGACGCGAAAGCGUGGGGAGCGAACAGG